GCUCCUAUAGGAUAACAGCUUAUCCACUGGUCUUAGGAACCAGAGACUCUUGGUGCAAAUCCAAGUAGCAGCU
rnacentral:tRNA from 2 species